CUAUCCGCCCGGGUACUACGAGCACUAGCUUAAAACCCAAAGGACUUGGCGGUGCUUUAGAUCCACCUAGAGGAGCCUGUUCUAGAACCGAUAACCCCCGUUAAACCUCACCCUCUCUUGUUCUUCCCGCCUAUAUACCGCCGUCGUCAGCUUACCCUAUGAAGGAGCCACAGUAAGCAGAACUAGUACAACUCAAAACGCCAGGUCGAGGUGUAGCAUAUGAGAGGGGAAGAAAUGGGCUACAUUCCCUACCACAGGGAAUACGAACAAUGUAAUGAAAUAUACAUUAGAAGGAGGAUUUAGCAGUAAGCAGAAAAUAGAGCGUUCCGCUGAAACCGGCCCUGAAGCGCGCACACACCGCCCGUCACUCUCCCCAAACCAACUAACAUCCUAUAAAUAAUACAUAUUAUCGGUAAAGGGGAGGCAAGUCG
rnacentral:rRNA from 1 species